UUUGGCCAAUAUUAGGACAUCUCGUAGGAACUAAAAAUUAUCCAUUCAUUAUUGCUAUUUAUUUUGGGAAUUCUGAUCCAAAUAAUGUGAAAGAGUUUUUGCAAGAUUUUGUAACUGAAGUUGAUAAUCUAAUUUCUAAUGGUUAUGUACGAUAUGGAAAAACUUUUAUUUUUUUAAUUAGACAUUAUAUUCUUGAUGCUCCAGCUAGAGAAUUAAUAAAAUGUUGUAUAGGCCAUAAUGGAUAUGCUUCAUGUGAAAAAUGUACAGUAUGGGGAGAACGAUUAGAUUAUAGGCAAACGUAUAUUGAUUUACAUGCUCCUUUAAGAACUGACGAAAGUUUUAAAAAUCAAAUGCAACCUCGCCAUCAUAAAGGAGUAUCACCUCUUCUUCAACUUAAUACCAAAAUGGUCUCUCAGUUUCGAUUAGAGCCUAUGCAUUUGGUAUAUGAAGGUGUGUUUAAGAGAUUAUUAGAAGCAUGGAAGAAUUGGAUAAGUCCAUGGAAACUACACUGGACUGUUGUAAACAGAAUAUCUGAUAGGCUGAUUCUGUUAGCCCCUUCUUGUCCUCAGGACUUUGCUCGAAAACCCAGAUCUUUACAUGAAUUAUCAUUUUACAAAGCAACGGAAUUCCGUCGUUUAUGUUUAUACGAUGGCAUAGCAGCUUUUGCUUCACAUCCUGAUAUAAAUAUUUAUAAGCACUUUCUAUUAUUGCAUUGUGGAAUUUAUAUUCUUACAAGUCCCAUUCUUUAUAAAAGUUUUAACGAGUAUGCAAAUACUCUACUCAGAACUUUUAUCCAACAUUCUAUCACAUUAUUUAGAAAAUUAUUUGUUGUAUAUAAUGUUCACUCUCUUUGCCAUUUGGCACAAGAAUGUAUUGAUCAUGGUUGUUUAGAUACAUUUAGUGCCUUUCGUUAUGAAAACAAAUUAAAAAUGAUUAAAAGUAACCUCAAAUCUGGUUUUAAACCCAUUCAACAAGCAGCAAAACGUGAGCUAGAACAAAUUUGUCGUUUUGAAAUUUAUAAAUGAAGAUGUUGAUUGCGACGAGGAAGACGAUUCUUUAUUUGAAGUUGGUCUUAUUAAAUGGCUAAAACAAUUAGAUGAAGAAACAAAUGCAAAAAUUUCUUGGCCUCCUAAAUCUGAGCAGAGUACUGCAAUUAAAAAAGAAAUAGAUGCACUUCCUUCAUGGCCGAUAUAUAAUGUUACUGUUUUAAAAUGUUAUGAUACACUUUUGGCUGCACGAAAUGCACGAAAUGGAUAUAUUAUGUCGUCUAAUUAUGAAACAGAGUGUGAAUUUGGUCGUGGUAAACGUAAAAAAAUUAAGCGGCAGUUUGCAUGUGAUGAAUCUCUCUCGACAAAAGUGACAAAAAAGAAGAAAUUUAAAAAUAUUUUAACUUCUGAUGAUUCAGAUUUUGAUAGAGAUGAUAGUGCUAUAAAAAAAUAUAAAUUUAAACAUGCUCCUUCUCCGCCAUUUAUCUUGUUUCGAUCAGAAAAUAAUAAAGUAAAACAAUAUCAAAACAAUAUUAUCACAGAUAGCAAAACAAAAAAAUUUGAAAGAUUACAGAAAAAUAAACAAUUAGAAAAAAAAAAUGACGCAAUGUUGACAUUUUCUAAAAAUCAUAAAUCUAAAAAGGAUCUCUUACUUACAAAAAUAUGUCAAGCAAGGAAGGUAACUUCAGUUACGGAUAACAAAACAAAAAUCAUAGAGAUUGCAAGAGAAAAACAGAAAUGUUUAAUAGAAGAUAAUAUGGAUUCUGAUAAUGCUACAGAAGAAAAUAUUGAUCCUAAUAUUCCACGAGAGGACGAUUUUUCAAUGAAAGUUCAGGAUAUCAAAUAAAGAUGUAUCUCCAAGUACAAGUGCAAGAUCGAUAAAUAUAGAGACACCAGGUACAUCAAAAGAUUACUGUAUUUAUGAAGCAAAUAUAUCUGAUGAAAAAUCAUCAUCUUCAAUAUGCACUUCUCCAUCAGAAUUACGUCAAAAGAGUCCAGUUACUUCACAUGUGACAGCUGUAACUACACCGAGUUCAUCUUGUAGAUCAAGUAGUGUAUUAGAUGUGUCUAAAGCGACCUUUGAUAUGAAAGCUUUUGAAAAAAAGAUGUAUUCGUUAAAUUAAGAAAUUAGUAGCAAAUUAGAUAUGAUUACUAUGAAUUUAUGCAGAUUAAAUCGCUUUCUUCUACCACAUGAGAAAAGAAUAAUAAGACCAGCAGAUCUUCCAGCACUUCCAUUGACAACAGAGGAAGAAUUAGAAAAAUUUGAAAAAUAUUUAACGAAAGAUGAUAAUGCUGGUGCAACUAUUUGUUACAUGAGUCAAAUUAUUGGUCCUAAAGACAAUAUUAAGGAAGCUACAUAUAAAGUACUAAGGAAACUUAUUUCAAACACAUUGGCAGCAGACUUUACUUUAAAAAGUGGUAAACAUUUAUCCAAAAAAUGUUUCGAAAAGCUGAUGCUGUAUGAAGUUGUUCAAGGUGCCAUUUUAGACAAAAGGCCAGAAACAGAAAUCCCAGAGAUUGAUGCAGCUACUUCACUGUGGCUAAAGCAAGCACCUUGGCGUCGCCAAGAUGACGGCAGUAUGGGGAAAAGAAU